CAGCCGCCGCGUGCGCGUCGUGCAGUCUGCGGGAGCGUGGGGCAGGCCUCGCCCAUUCCCCUCGCCCGCACGCCCGCACCCCUCCCUCCCUGCUCUAUCCCUCUCCCUGCUCAGCCACCAUUGGUGGAAAACCUUAGCCCAGUCUCGCAAUCAAGCAGCCGCCGCGCCUCUCCCUCCUCCCUCCCUCACCUCAGCCGUGACCCAGGGCUUCGCUGUCUCUUUUGAUGAGAUCCACCGCCUCCCGAGGUCCUCAUCUGCCCCGGGUUGCUACAAAGCCCCAGGAGGAGAAGAGACCUCGUCGCGAGGAAGGUGCGAAGGAGGAGCUCAACCAAGGCGUCGUCGCUCGGAGGAGGGGAGCAGCGGAUGCGAGCCAGGAGGCGGAUUGGCUCAGUCCAGCCAUGGAGCUGCCGCUGCGGACUCCCCGCUGGCCUCCUUCGUCUUCAUAUCUUCUACUCCCUGCCGAUUUCGUGUUCUUCUUUUAGUUUCCUUCAUACGCUGGUUGAUUAUCUUGUCGUCCUCUCCUGCGUCCACCGAUGCACCGUUCUGCCUUUGGCAAUUAGUUGAGUUCAUUUUGCUUGAUGUCGUAUCAUCCGUCUUUCCUGAUUUCCUAGCCUGCUUCUCCUUUUCUAGGUUCUAGGAUCCCCUGUGUUGCUGCAUCUUGAUCUACUGCUUUGAUGUAACUCUGUUCUGCUGCUCGAGGAUGGAGCAGCAGGCAUAGAAGAAAUCUAGAGCCAAUUUCUCUUGGCUGUGGCAUCUUCCGCUGACAGUAACUCUACACAACAGCCUGCUAAGGUGUGUGUAGGUAGGUAAGAGUGAUGAUAAUGUUACUUAAAGGAGAUUUCACAAAGAGAUUUACAGCUACCAGUACCCAGCAAUGCUUCAACCUUAUUUGUAUGCCCUUAUCGUUUCUAGGUGGUUGCUGAUGAAUCAUGUAAGGAUGGCGCAUAGUUCACCAGAGGGAAAAGACCGAACUACGAUAACCAAAUCAAACAGAUGAGAAGGUCCAAUUGUCGUUGCCUUCACUUGCUUUGUCGUUUACCGAUCUGUCAGCUCGCCGGUUCCCUGACUUGCUGUCAAGGAGAGGGGAGAGACAUGUGUUUGGAUUCUGGGUCUUUACUUAAUUUGUUGCAGAAAAUUGGUCAAUAGAUCUCAUUUAUGGAUGAGGUUGUGGCGGUAGUUCUCGGGUGCAGUCUCUAUCUUGAUAAAGCCUUCUAUCAGGGCGCAUUAGAUGCUGAAGAAUAGUAAACAUUUGGGGUUUCUGUGGCGUUCAACAUUCAGCGUUUAUGUACUGUGUACAUGCACGGCCAUGCACCACCAGUUCAGUAACUAGAUGGCCUUUUCUACUGUACUGGUUCUGCUAAACUUCACAUGCUAACUUCUUUGAAAAGGGCCAACAGCGUGUGCCACAUGUAAAUAGUCCAUGUUACAAAGAACAGAACCAGAAGUGUGGGGAUGAUGUAUUAAUGGUCGGUCAGGGAAUUCAGUCUCGAUGAGCUUAACUAAUGACAUAUGUGAGUUGAGCCUGAGGUCAUUUUCAAAGUAACAGAAGUAUUUUACUUUCCUUUUCA